UAGGGAAUCUUCGGCAAUGGACGAAAGUCUGACCGAGCAACGCCGCGUGAGUGAAGAAGGUUUUCGGAUCGUAAAACUCUGUUGUUAGAGAAGAACAAGGAUGAGAGUAGAAUGUUCAUCCCUUGACGGUAUCUAACCAGAAAGCCACGGCUAACUACGUGCCAGCAGCCGCGGUAAUACGUAGGUGGCAAGCGUUGUCCGGAUUUAUUGGGCGUAAAGCGAGCGCAGGCGGUUUCUUAAGUCUGAUGUGAAAGCCCCCGGCUCAACCGGGGAGGGUCAUUGGCAACUGGGAAACUUGAGUGCAGAAGAGGAGGGUGGAAUUCCAUGUGUAGCGUUGAAAUGCGUAGAUAUAUGGAGGAACACCAUUGGCGACGGCUGCUCUCUGGUCUGUAACUGACGCUGAGUCUCGAAAGCGUGGGGAGCAAACAGG
rnacentral:rRNA from 1 species